UUUUUAACUCCGCCAAUGCAAAUGUUAUGCCAUAACAUUUGCAUUGCCGGUCCCAAGCCCGGGUAAAGGAGGAGGGGGAA
rfam:Macleaya cordata isolate BLH2017 scaffold525, whole genome shotgun sequence.